AGUAACGCGUAAGAACUUGCCCUUAGACUGGGAUAACAGAGGGAAACUUCUGAUAAUACUGGAUAAGUUAGUAUAUCGCAUGAUAUGCAAAUGAAAGCUACGGCACUAAAGGAGAGCUUUGCGUCCUAUUAGCUAGUUGGUAAGGUAAGAGCUUACCAAGGCGAUGAUAGGUAGCCGGCCUGAGAGGGUGGACGGCCACAAGGGGACUGAGAUACGGCCCUUACUCCUACGGGAGGCAGCAGUU
rnacentral:rRNA from 1 species